GACGAACGUUGGCGGCGUGCUUAAUACAUGCAAGUCAACUGAAGCAGUGGUAGCAAUAUCGCUGUGGAGGUGGCGCACGGGUGAGUAACACGUAGGUAAUCUGCCUUCAGGUCUGGCAUAACUCCGGGAAACCGGGGCUAAUAGCAGAUGAUGCAGCGGCUCGACAUCGAGACAGUUGUUAAAGCUAUGGCGCCUGAAGAUGAGCCUGCGUCUGGUUAGCUAGUUGGCGGGGUAACGGCCCACCAAGGCAACGACCAGUAGCUGGUCUGAGAGGAUGAUCAGGCACACUGGAACGGACACGCGGUCUAGACUCCGACGGGAGGCAGAAGUAAGGAAUAUUGCUCAAUGGGUGAAACACUGAAGCAGCAACGCCGCGUGAGGGACGAAGGUCUUUUGGUUGUAAUCCUCUGUAGGAAGAGAAAAAAGUCCAAAUCUUGGUGACAUGACGGUAUCUAAAAAGUAAGCCCCGGCUAACUACGUG
rnacentral:rRNA from 1 species